GACAGAGGGUGCAAACGUUGUUCGGAAUUACUGGGCGUAAAGCGCGUGUAGGCGGCUGCGUGUGUCGGGCGUGAAAUCCCAUGGCUCAACCAUGGAAGUGCACCCGAAACUGCGUAGCUAGAGUCCUGGAGAGGAAGGUGGAAUGCUUGGUGUAGAGGUGAAAUUCGUAGAUAUCAAGCGGGACACCGGUGGCGAAGGCGGCCUUCUGGACAGUGACUGACGCUGAGACGCGAAAGCGUGGGGAGCAAACAGG
rnacentral:rRNA from 1 species